GACGAACGCUGGCGGCGUGCUUAACACAUGCCAGUCGAACGGUGAAGCGCCUUCCUUUUUGGUGGGUGUGGAUGAGUGGCGAACGGGUGAGUAACACGUGAGUAACCUGCCCCCUUCUUCUGGAUAACCGCAUGAAAGUGUGGCUAAUACGGGAUAUUCUGGGUCUGUCGCAUGAUGGGUCUGGGAAAGAUAUUGUUUCGGUGGGGGAUGGGCUCGCGGCCUAUCAGCUUGUUGGUGGGGUGAUGGCCUACCAAGGCGGUGACGGGUAGCCGGCCUGAGAGGGUGGACGGUCACACUGGGACUGAGACACGGCCCAGACUCCUACGGGAGGCAGCAGUGGGGAAUAUUGCACAAUGGGCGCAAGCCUGAUGCAGCGACGCCGCGGGAGGGAUGGAGGCCUUCGGGUUGUGAACCUCUUUCGCCAGUGAAGCAGGCCUGCCUCGUUUGUGGGUGGGUUGACGGUAGCUGGAUAAGAAGCGCCGGCUAACUACGUG
rnacentral:rRNA from 1 species